rnacentral:rRNA from 1 species
GAUGAACGCUAGCGGCAGGCUUAACACAUGCAAGUCGAGGGGUAUGCCGAUUUAUCGGCAGAGACCGGCGCACGGGUGCGUAACGCGUAUGCAAUCUACCUUUCACAGAGGGAUAGCCCAGAGAAAUUUGGAUUAAUACCUCAUAGUAUAGCAGUUUCGCAUGAAACCACUAUUAAAGUUCCAACGGUGAAAGAUGAGCAUGCGUCCCAUUAGCUAGAUGGUAAGGUAACGGCUUACCAUGGCUACGAUGGGUAGGGGUCCUGAGAGGGAGAUCCCCCACACUGGUACUGAGACACGGACCAGACUCCUACGGGAGGCAGCAGUGAGGAAUAUUGGUCAAUGGACGCAAGUCUGACCAGCCAUGCCGCGUGUGUGAAGAAGGUCUUCGGAUUGUAAAGCACUUUAAGUUGGGAGGAAGGGUAGUAACCUAAUACGUUGGCUACUUUGACCGUUACGACAGAAUAAGCACCGGCUAACUUCGUGCCAGCAGCCG